rnacentral:misc_RNA from 1 species
AACGCACGAGACCUGCGGACCUGCGGAGGGAUCAUCACUAGAUCAGUUGACCUUUUAGGUCAAUUAUAACUUGUGCACUGUUAUUAUUAUAUUUUGGCAGUAUAAUUUUUAAAUACUGCCAAACUUGAAACUUUUUUAACUAUUAAUAUAGUUUUAUAUGUUUAAAAAGCUUUGCUUUGUUAAUGUUUUUUUUUAUAUUAAUAAUAAAAAAAUAAUACAACUUUCAGCAACGGAUCUCUA